rnacentral:rRNA from 1 species
GACGAACGCUGGCGGCGUGCUUAACACAUGCAAGUCGACCGGAAAGGCCCUGCUUUUGUGGGGUGCUCGAGUGGCGAACGGGUGAGUAACACGUGAGUAACCUGCCCUUGACUUUGGGAUAACUUCAGGAAACUGGGGCUAAUACCGGAUAGGAGCUCCUGCUGCAUGGUGGGGGUUGGAACGUUUCGGCGGUUGGGGAUGGACUCGCGGCUUAUCAGCUUGUUGGUGGGGUAGUGGCUUACCAAGGCUUUGACGGGUAGCCGGCCUGAGAGGGUGACCGGCCACAUUGGGACUGAGAUACGGCCCAGACUCCUACGGGAGGGAGCAGUGGGGAAUAUUGCACGAUGGGCGGAAGCCUGAUGCAGAAACGCCGCGUGCGGGAUGACGGCCUUCGGGUUGUAAACCGCUUUCGCCUGUGACGAAGCGUGAGUGACGGUAAUGGGUAAAGAAGCACCGGCUAACUACGUG